rnacentral:lncRNA from 1 species
GGAUUCUUUUGGGGAAGUGACAAGCAUUGAAUGUCCUUUCAAGGUAUGGUACAACUUUGCCCUACUUUGCCCAACAGUUAAUGUGGGCGUGCUUUCACAUUUUCCCCCAACGGAAUUAGGAGCAGUGAGCUUCAUUCUAUAGCUCAUUCACUCAGCUCCUCCUGUUACCAUGAUGCAUCUGAGUCAUUCCCUUGUAAGCCUCACAAGUCAUAAAGCAGGACACCUGUAUUUUCCACAGCCGUUUGGAUGACACCUCAACCGUUCACAAUUAAAAGCAACACAGUGUUCCCAAGGAGAGGACCAGUACUAAUAGAAACAGGGAAGGAGGGGAAGAAACGCCCAACAAGCUAAGCUGUGGUUGGGCAGGAAGGGUGACUGGACAUUGUUUCUUAACCACUUUCCCAAACUUCAUCUGUUAACCCAUUUUUGGCCUUCACCAAUGAAAGAGAAAAAUCAACCAAAGUUAACCAAAAGGCCAGUGUGCAUCUCAAAUAUAUCUUCAUCUCUGGAUGGAAGAUGAGUAAGAUCCAGGUUGCAUUUAAAGGUGAAUCUGUCUAAUUCGGAUUUUCUAAAAUAAUAUGAGAACUGAAACACAGCCAUAGACCUUCCAAGUGUCCCUAUUUUCUUGGGACAGUUCCAGAUUUACAGAAGCUGUCCCGGUUUCUGAUUUGAUCCUGGAAUGCCCAGCUUUUCCUUAGGAUGUCCCUAUUUUCAUCAGAGAAAUGCUGGAGGGUAUGGAGUUAUGUGACCUCCCCAAGCCAAGGAGAUAAAUAACUAUACAACCUUUAGAAGACAUCUGAAGGCAGCCCUGAAUAGGGAUUUUUUUUAAAAAUGCUUAAUGUUUAAUUAUGUUUAUAUAUAUAUUGUAAGGGACACGGGUUGCGCUGUUGGUUAAACCACAGAGCCUAGGGCUUGCCAAUCAGAAGGUCAGUGGUUCGAAUCCCUGCAACGGGGUGAGCUCCCAUUGCUCGGUCCAUGCUCCUGCCAACCUAGCAGUUCGAAAGCACAUCAAAGUGCAAGUAGAUAAAUAGGUACCGCUCUGGCGGGAAGGUAAACGGCAUUUCCGUGCGCUGCUCUGGUUCGCCAGAAGCGGCUUAGUCAUGCUGGCCACAUGACCCGGAAGCUGUACGCCGGCUCCCUUGGCCAAUAAAGCGAGAUGAGCACUGCAACCCCAGAGUCGGUCACGACUGGACCUAAUGGUCAGGGGUCCCUUUACCUUUACCUAUAUAUAUUGUAAACCACCCAGAGUGACUGAGGCAACCCAGGUCAGAUAGGCAUGGUAUUAUUAUUAUCAUCAUCAUUAUUAUUAUUAUUAUUAAUAAUAAUAUCAUUGAAUAGGACAUCCCUUUUUUCAUCAGAGAAAUGUUGGAGGGUAUGCAGCCAUCCUUCGAAAUUCACACAUUUUCUAAAAAAAAUCAACCUGAUGUGGAAAUGUGGAGAACUGAAUUUAAGAUGGGGAAAAUGACAAUUGUAGAGAAAGCAAAUGGUACAGAUUUGCCCAUCCCUAUCUAUGACCUGGUUGAUACUGUGGCACAACUCCCAAGAAGACCCUCAAAACAUUCCAGCAGCUUUCACAGUCCCUCCAGAGUGUUGAAUUUUACUCCCGCCUUGCUAAAUUCCUCCACUUCUUUUAAGUCCUGUCAGCAGUUGACAUCUUCAUCUCCAGCGAGGAGAGCCACGCCUCAGCUGCAUUCCAAAACCCUGCCCUGCUAGAAGAUGGAAAUAAGUCCGAGGGCAGAGGGAAUGAUGUGUGGAGGACAAACCUGACUGCUGGGGCCAGGCCAGGUUACAAGGCUCUGAGGCGGUGUAUGGCUUUGACUCGGUUAAAUGACUGCACGCAGGCCCUCGCCUCAUGCACUCCAGGGGGAAUGGAAAAGUACCAGGGUUCUCUGCAACAAAUAAAAUGGAACUGGGUGAGGGCGGAAAAUCCCACAAGCAAGUUCCCUCUGUUCAAAUGUGCUUGCGCAACCAUGCUCCUUGACACACAAACAUGGGUUCGGUGAAUACCUGAGCAGGGCGCAAAGCCACAGCGCCAAGGAGCCCUACUCCUGAAUGUCAGCACGUCCCUCUGGCCUUGUCCCAUGAUUAGGGUUACUGAGCUUCUUUUUUGGCAAAGGUGAUUAGUUUUUUGUGCGUGCAAAAUCUCAAAAAAGGAGAAGUCUUUACCUAUUUUUUAAGGAAAAGAACAACCUGGGUAACCUGGGCUAACAACACUUCCAUACGCCAUUAGCUGCUUUUUAAAAAUUUCGCCCAGACGCCAUUUUCGAAGGGCGAAUCCUGGCUACGUCCAGCAGAUUCCAGACAUAUGGCAGCCCUGCCCAUGAUGCCUGGGCGUUCAGUGGAACACAUGAAUGGGGCAUGUACAUGAGUAGAGAGCUGUAUUUGCAUAGGAGAUCCUUUCAUAUGCUCCUAAUGUGAGUCCUAAUGACUCAUGCAUUGCCAAAAGAAAAAGGGAUGCCUUCUCCUCCUCCUCCUCCUCCUCCUUCAUUGUCAUUUUUUGACUACCCACUAUUAACCAGUAGAUUUUAGGGCGCAUUGCAACAAUUUAAAAUUUGGCUAUGCAACUGUAGGUCCAGGCUAUCUGAAGGAUCAUAUUCUCCCAUACAAGCCUGCCCGGGCUCUGAGAUUGAUUCUCAGUCCUGCCACCCUCACAGGCAUGCACAGGGAACACAGGAGAGGGCCUUCUCAGUAGCUGCUCCCAGACUUUGGAAUUUCCUUCCUUGAGAAGCUAGGCUGGCUCCCUCCUUGUCUUCCAGCGAGCAAGUGAUGGCAGUUUUAUUCUGACAGGCCAUUGGGAAGGAGAGAGCUUUUAAUAGUGCUGUGCUGAUGUUAUUAUCUGUAUUUUCGUACGCUUAUUUUUAUAUUGUUUUAAUUCUAUAGGAGUGUAAUGCCUUUCGAACCAUGAUCUUUUAUAUGUUUAUAGUGUUUUAUUUCAUUUCAUCUGUGUUGUUUUAAACUGCGUAAGCCCCCUUAUGUCCUGGUCUGGGGAAAGGUGGGUUACUCAGUUGGUAGAGCAUGAGACUCUUAAUCUCAGGGUUGUGAUUUCAAGCUCCACCUUAUGAAAAAGAUUCCUGCAUUGCAGGGGGUUGGACUACAUGACCCUCAUGGUCCCUUCCAACUCUACAAUUCUAAGCUUCUAAUAAUAAUAGUUCAGAAUUAAAAACAAACUAUAGUUGAAUAGGCAUCUUAUGUUCACAUUACCCGUUCUCUGAUCUAUUUUUUAAAAAUCUAAAUUUUGUACAGGUGGCGACCAUUUUCCAUGUGUCCAGUUGGCAGAGAAAGUUCUUUCCUGGGCCGGCUCUACCAUUAGGCAGAAGUAUGCUUCAGGUGGUAGAUUUGAAGUGUUGUGAAAGGCCAGCAAAUUCUUGUUAGGUUUUUACUGCCAUGCACUGGGAGGUGCUUGUGAAGUUUUCUGCUUCACCUGCCACAAUAAAUUGACUGGCCUUGGGAGUUCUGCACCUUGGGACUGUGAUGGAGAGCCAUUUGCUCCUCUGCCACAGGGGGCAAACUGUCUUAGGCAGUUGCUAUGUGAUCCCUUUAACACUGGAUGUGAACUCAGGAUCUCCUGCAUACAAAGCAUGUGCUCUACCACUGAAAGGAUUAGAAGAGGCAUAAGGCUGUUUGGGGGUGAGGAAUGACUCUGCAAGAGAGAGACCCACAACCUAUAAAUGAAAUACCUUUGGGCCAAAAGAGGUUGAUUGUGCAUUGGCUACUUAGCAGGAAGAAAUGGCUGUUUAUUUGUAUUUACAGUUGUACCUUGGAUCCCAAAAUGCCUUCGUACUAGGACGUUUUAGCUCCUGAACACCACAAACCCAGAAGUGAGUGUUCCGGUUUGCGAACGUUCUUUGGAGCUUUAACAUUCUGCAGCCAAUCGGAAGCCACGCUUUGGUUUCCAAACAUUUUGGAAGUUGGACGGACUUGCGGCACUAAUUCCAUUUGACUUCCAAAGUACAACUGUAUUGUAUAUACAGUGGUGCCUUGCAAGACGAAAAGAAUCCGUUCUGUGAGUCUCUUCGUCUAGCGGUUUUUUCGUCUUGCGAAGCAAGCCCAUUGACGGAUUAGCGGAUUAGCGCUAUUAGCGCUAUUAGCGGCUUUUAGCGGCUUUUAGCGGCUUAUCAGCUUAUCGGAUAAGCAGAUAAGCGGCUUAACGGCUUAGAAAAAGGGGGGGGAAGGGGAAAAAAACUGCAGGAACUCGCAAGACAUUUUCGUCUUGCGAAGCAAGCCCAUAGGAGCUUCGUUUUGCGAAGCACCUCCAAAACGGAAAACUCUUUCGUCUAGCGAGUUUUCCGUCUUGCGAGGCAUUCGUCUUGCGGGGCACCACUGUAUUUUUAAUUUUUAUAUAUGGAUGUUUUAUGAUGGCCUAUACAGUGGUACCUUGGGUUACAUAUGCUUCAGGUUACAUACGCUUCAGGUUACAGACUCUGCUAACCCAGAAAUAGUACCUGGGGUUAAGAACUUUGCUUCAGGAUGAGAACAGAAAUCGUGCUCUGGCGACGCGGCGGCAGCAGGAGGCCCAUUGGCUAAAGUGGUGCUUCAGGUUAAGAACAGUUUCAGGUUAAGAAUGGACCUCUGGAAUGAAUUAAGUAUGUAACCAGAGGUACCACUGUACUUGUAAUGCCUAAUAAAGGUUUGGCAAAGUGGAAGUAGAAUUAGAUUGUGCAUUGGAAAGUGUUGGGCAGCAAACAGCUCUUGCAGUCAUCAGAGUGCAGGGAGGGUGUCCUAAAGCUGUACAGCAGGAGUUCACUGUUAAGCAAGCAGGCCAGGACUUCCUGUUCUUCUCUGAAAUAGGUGUCCCAGGAAUUGCUGUUUCCCUGCCAGGUUCUUGUGGACAUCAGCUUCCUGGCUCAGGUACCUGAGACAAGACAUCCAGAACUGCUAUCCACCCCACUCUGAAGAUGAAGAGCGGCUGAACCAUUGAGAUCAGCACAUUUUGCACUUCCUUGAGAAAUUGUUUCUAUGUAAAUACAAUCACACUGUUCAUUAGGAGGAUUGAUGGCAAGAGCUUGAACCUUGACGUCUGAUCACUGAGGCCCAGCUAUCUCGAAUGAAAACCCAGAGGCACACUAUGAAACUAAAAAAAAGUUAAUGUUGAAUUUUCCUUCUGCUUGCUCAAGAUACAGGCAGCACUGUCGCUGGCAGGUUCCCCAAGGCACGGCUGGCCCAAUGCAUUUUGCUGCUUGAGGCAAAUCAGAAAAUGGUGUUCCCUGUGCUCUUUCCAGUGGCAGAGCUGCCUGAGGCAACUGGAGGUGGCCUGUGUGCUAAAGAUGACAAGGAAGAAAAAAGGAGACCAGAGAAGAGCAGGCAGCAGCAGAGUGACCUUCCUGCUCAGGGGGUGACUGGGAUGGCAGUGGCAGAGGCUCCUAUCCUCAGCCAGAGGAGGAGUGGCAAAGGCAUGUGAGCAGGGCCAGAUUUACUGUAUUUUUCGCUCUACAAGACAUACUUUUUCCCUCCUAAAAAGUAAGGGGAAAUGUGUGUGCGUCUUAUGGAGCGAAUGCAGGCUGCACAGCUAUCCCAGAAGCCAGAACAGCGAGAGGGAUCACUGUGCUCCCUCUCUCUGUUCUAGCUUCUGGCUUAGCCGUGCUCUGUCUCUUCCCCCACCUCCCAGAAAAGUGACGGGCUGCCCUUCUCCCUCCUUGGGGAAAAGCCUGUAAGCACCGCACACACGCUCCACGCGGCUCAUGAAAGGGAGCGCUGAGCAGAGCCUGGGAUGCAUACAGGCUCUGCUCAGCGCUCCCUUUAAAGAAUAUUUUUUUCCCUUGCAUUCCCCAUCUAAAAAUUAGGUGCGUCUUAUGGUCAGGUGCGUCUUAUGGAGCGAAAAAUACAGUAGAUGAAGAGAGGCCCUAGGCUACUCCACUUGUGAGACCCCUCCUCAUCCCCCACCCUCACAACUCAAAGAAAAUGGAAGAGUGUUACAAACAAAACUGAGCAAAGGCAAGGAUGAUGACGGGUAUUUAAAAUUCUGCAAUUCACAAUUUCUCCUCUAAAGGACAUAAGAUAUAUUUUUUUUUUUUAAAAAAAAGAUAUUUAUUAAGAUUUUCAAAAUAUUACAAAAUAGAAAAAGAAAAAAGAAAAAUACAAAAUAAAAAUAGUUAAAAACAAUUCAAUCUUUCAGUCACUUAUCUUUCAUUUGCUUAUUUCCCGGACCUCCUCACGCCUCCCUUUUCUGUAUUCCAGUUCAGUUUGUUAGUUCAGCAAAUCCCUCCCCUCUUUAUUUAUCCUAGUCUUCAAUCUUAAGGUAUUGUAACAUUAGAUUUUUGCCUAAUAAUAGUCCAUUUUUUCAUAUUCCCUUACAACAUUACAGCUAAAAACCACUUAGUUUCUAUCCAACAUCAUUCUAACAUUCAUUAAUUUUACAUAUUUCUGUAAAUAAUCUUUGAACUUUUUCCAAUCUUCUUCCACCGACUCUUCUCCCUGGUCUCGGAUUCUGCCAGUCAUUUCUGCCAGUUCCAUAUAGUCCAUCACCUUCAUCUGCCAUUCUUCCAAGGUGGGUAGAUCUUGUGUCUUCCAAUACUUUGCAAUAAGUAUUCUUGCUGCUGUUGUGGCAUACAUAAAGAAAGUUCUAUCCUUCUUUGGCACCAAUUAGUCGACUAUGCCCAGGAGAAAGGCCUCGGGUUUCUUCAAGAAGGUAUAUUUAAAUACCUUUUUCAAUUAAUUAUAGAUCAUCUCCCAGAAAGCCUUAAUCCUUGGGCACGUCCACCAAAGGUGAAAGAAUGUACCUUCAGUUUCUUUACAUUUCCAACAUUUAUUAUCGGGCAAAUGAUAGAUUUUUGCAAGCUUGACUGGGGUCAUGUACACCUGUAUAUCAUUUUCAUAAUAUUCUCUCUUAGGGCAUUACAUGCCGUAAAUUUCAUACCUGUAGUCCACAACUGUUCCCAGUCAGCAAACAUAAUAUUAUGUCCAACAUCUUGUGCCCAUUUAAUCAUAACAGAUUUCACUGUUUCAUCCUGAGUAUUCCAUUUCAACAGCAAGUUAUACAUCUUUGACAAAAUCUUAGUUUUGGGUUCUAACAGUUCUGUUUCUAGUUUUGAUUUUUCCACCUGGAAUCCAAUUUUCUUAUCCAAAUUGUAUGCCUCCAUUAUCUGAUAAUAAUGAAGCCAGUCUCGCACUUUGUCUUUUAAUUUCUCAAAACUCUGCAAUUUCAAUUUGUCUCCUUCUUGUUCCAGAAUUUCCCAAUAUUUCGGCCAUUUGGCCUCCAUAUUGAGCUUUUUCUGAGCCUUUGCUUCCAUCGGUGACAACCACCUUGGGGUUUUGUUUUCAAGUAAGUCCUUAUAUCUUAUCCAGACAUUUAACAAUGCUUUCCUAACAAUAUGGUUUUUAAAUGCUUUAUGUGCUUUAACCUUGUCAUACCACAAAUAUGCAUGCCACCCAAAAACGUUAUUGAAACCUUCUAAGUCCAAAAUGUCUGUGUUCUCAAGAAGCAGCCAUUCUUUCAACCAGCAGAAUGCUGCUGAUUCAUAAUAAAGUUUAAGGUCUGGCGGGGCAAAUCCACCUCUGUCCUUUGCAUCAGUUAAUAUUUUAAAUUUUAUUCUGGGCUUCUUGCCCUGCCAGACAAACAUAAGAUAUUAUUGUUAAAUACCAUGGUGAUUUUUAAAAGUUGCAUAAAAUUAACACCGAAAAACUUUGGCAAUAACUGAACUUUUUAAACCUUUUGUGGAAUAAGCAUUAUUUUUUAGGAAAAUGAAGUUGUAAUGUUAUUCUUAAAAAAAACCCCCGCAGAGCUACACUGUUCCGUGUAGCUCCUGCCCUGUCAUUUGAUAGGGUGCCCACUUGCCCUCCUUCUUGACAUUGAAUGCUCUCUAUUGGAGCCUCCAGGUCCAGUAAAAAGGCCAUAAGAAGGGAGAGCAGGGACCUUGAAGUUCCCAGCAGCUGUUAAUCAAGCAAGCAAGCAAGCAAGCAAGCACACAGCUCACCUUUGUCACAGUCAGGACGCCUAUGUCCUGGCUAGGCCUGCACCCAAUCUUGUUUUUGUACAAUCUUGUUUGUUCUCAGUAACCAAAAUUAUAUUAUCAACAUAAACAAGCAGAAAAGUUGUUUUCCUUCAUUUGCAAGGAAUCGUACAAAACAAAGUGGCACUAAUAAAGAAAAGUUCCAGGGUGGCAACAGAAAGCAAACUAAAAAUGUUUUGCAGUUCAUCAAAACUAUCCAGCAAUAUCAAGUUAUAGGAAACCUGGUGCUAUUCAUAGUAAUCCUUCUAGCUGGUAAUUGGUUUGGCAACUUCCAUGCAUAUGACGUGUGAUGCUAAUUAUUUCCCCAAAGAGUUAAAUGAUAACUAAUCAGAGGCAUCUACAGUUGCAAAUGGCAAUAAAAUAUCUGUGAAAGGAAGAGGAGCAGGUUCUCUCAAGUGUGUUGCAGGUAGAAAUACUGUUUGUAAUGAAGUGAGAGCAGUAGUUUACUUGCUCGAAUUAACAAAUAAGAACAUUUUGAGAAUUUAAAUUCUAGAUUAAAAUUGAUUACUUAACUGAGAAGGGGAUUGUAACAAAAACACUGGGGCCUAAUUUGAAUAGUAGAGUGCCUGGAAUCUGGUGGGCAAUCUCAUUCUUUAUUUCCACACUGACUGCAGACCAAAUCACCUGUCAUGAGAGUUAUAAGAUUCAGGUGAGGGUCAGAUGCAUUGUCAAUCAAAGCAGGUAUAUAAGAGGAUGACCACUUUCACCCUGGCCAGACAUUAGCACUAGAUUUAGACAUUAGCACCCCUAGAUUUAGAGGCCCAAGUUGCCCUGUCCUCGCAUGAAGUCUUGGGUUUGCAGUUUGGGGAGAGGGGAGACUGCCCGCUGGGAAGUGGGUGGGCUGGUGAGGCCUCCUAGAUUUAGAGACCCUUGGCUUCAGCCUACUUAGCCUAUACAUAAAACCAGCACUACACAUGAGGAUGCUCCUCCCUUUCCAGAUUUGCUGUGCCUUAAAGCUGUCCCCAGCCUACCGUCUGAGGUGACUGCCUCAGCGGGGCUUAUGGGCAGGCUGGCGCUAGUUCAAGGAUACAUUCCAGUCAGGUGAAAGCACUUGAGAAGUCUAUGCAGCAGGGCUCUGACGGAGUAGCCUCUGAAGAUUUUUUGAGGGCCAGAUUAGAGAGGUCUGGAGGGCCACACUUGGACCUCACACCUGAGGUCUCUUACUUCUGCCAUGAAAACAUUAAAAAAACCCUUCCCUAUAUAGGAUUGCCUUCAGACAGAUCAGGGGUUGCAUAACUCCAUACCCUCCAGCAUUUCUCCAAUGGAAAUAGGGACAUCCUAAGGAAAAGCGGGACAUUCUGGGAUCAAAUCAGAAACCAGGAUGGCUUCUCUAAAUCAGGGAUGUCCUUGGAAAAUAGGGACACUGGAGGGUCUGGGUUAGAGUGUUGAUAUGCCAAGGUUGCAGGUUUGAUCCCCAUACGGGACAGCUGCAGAUUCCUGCAUUGGACUAGAUGAUCCUCAGGGUCCUUUACAAUUCUACAGCUCCGGGCUUGGGAAAUGGUGUACAAAUUCACCUCAGACAGAUCCUGCAGGACGUAUGUUUGAGGAUGUAUGAGGUCCAGCUCCGAGGGCCUUCUGGUGGUUCCCUCGCUGCGAGGUUACAGGAAACCAGGCAGAGGGCCUUCUUGGUAGUGGCACCCUCCCAUUAGAUGUCAAUGAAAUAAACAACUAUCUGACUUUUAGAAAACAUCUGAAGGCAGCCCUGUUUAGGGAAGUUUUUAAUGUUUGAUGUUUUAUCGUGUUUUUAAUAUUCUAAUAUCACCCUGGGAGCCACCCAGGGUGGGUGGGGAAACCCAGCCAGAUGGGUGGGUAUAAAUAAUAAAAUCAUUAUUAUUAUUAAAGAGAGAGAAAGCUGACACCCAACUUACUGCGAAGCAGCAAAGCGGAGCUGCUGAGAGGCCAGAAGCAAGCACGUAAAAAAAAUCCAAUGAGUUGGCAUUGCUCUUACUUUUCGAACUCCACUUUUGCUCUUUGGGAAUCUUUUCCUUGUUUCUGCCAAGACUCCUACCUCAAAACUCCAGACAUGAAAGCAAACUAUGUGGCUUGGAGGGAGAAGUGGGGAUGCAGACACUACAGCAACCCAAGUGUCUGAUGUUCACGCACACAGUCUCACCCUAAAACAUACCAGGUGACCAGAGAUGGGCAGGAGAAGAACCUCUUUGUUAGCAGAGAAGAAGUAUUAGCAACAUCAAGGCCAGUGAUUCCCACAGGGUGUGCUAGUUUGCCAUCAUGUACUGCAGUGGGGGCUGGUCUAUGGGGUGCAGACUAGAGGGUGACACUAUCAGCUUCCGGCUCUGGCAUGGUGGAACGCUCUGUCUCAUGAGACCAGGGCUCUGCAGGAUCUGAUUUCUUUCUGCAGGGCCUGUAACACAAAGUUGUUCCAUCUGGCCUUUGGCUUGGAAUCAACUUGAUCCCCUCCCCCUCUUUCCUUUUUCCUUUCUCCUUCUGUGAUGGAAUUCCUAUUUGGGGACUUCCCUGGCUUUUUUUUCUGGCAGACGUAGGACCAGUCUGGAUUGUUGGCCUUGGUGAAGAUUUGAGGUUUUCAUCCCCAAAAAGUUUUUGAUUUGAGUUUCUACUGAAAUGAGGCUUUGUUUUAAUGUAUUUUAAUCUUGUUUUUAAGUUGCAUUUUAAUCAAUUGUUUUUAUACCUGGUGUUAGCCGCCCUGAGCCCAGUCUUGGCUGGGAAGGGUGGGGUAUAAAUAAAAAUUAUUAUUAUUAUUAUUAUUAUUAUUAUUAUUCCUCUUCCUUCGUAGUCUCAGUAUUGCCCCUUGAAGAAAUCAGCAGGGAGGAGAAUGGGGUCAAAAUGAGAAAUAGUAGAUUCCACCUGUCAUUGGCUG